rnacentral:snRNA from 1 species
GCAUUACUUUGUUUCCUUUUU